CGUCUAGCUCCCUGAUAGCUAAUCCUGGUUUACACACAAAUGUUUUUAUUGGCUUUCUUCUAUGUACACCUGCAGUUGAUUCACAAGCUCGGUCCUUGUCAUUGACGGCUAGCCAACAAUCUCAGUCCUUGUUGAGACCUCCUAGUCAAUUCUGCAGAAACUGUAGUAACAGGUUUUAUUAUGUGCCUUUUGUCUUGGUUUGUGUACUGAAUCUGCAGCAAGUUUGUAAAGGAAUAGGCCCUGGUUUAAGUGGCAUAUUCAUGUCUUUAAUUCACGUUAUGCAUUUCCAGACUGUAAUGUAGAAUUCACUGUUUUGCCGAAUAUACCGUCCUCAUGAUUAAUGUAAUUUUCUCGUGAUGAAUGACUGGAAAUGGUGGCAUGCUAAGUUAUGUUCCACGGUUUUGCGCAACCUGGUUAUGGUCUUAAGUUCAGAACACUGCCUGGUAUUGUUUCCCCUCUUGCAACAACAUGAAAUCCCACGAUAAUACUGGCCUUUUGGCUUCGGCUAACCUUACUCACUCUAGCUGGUAUAUUAUGUAAUCGGCAUCUGGAUUGCAGUUUGCGGUAUGCUUAUCAGGACGUGUCUCGCGAAUUCUUGGAAUUACUUGAUGAAGAGAGUGCUUUGUAUUGCUCAGCUGCCAUGCUAUUUCACUGCUUGAAUAAUAUUCUCUUGUAUUGCCAACAUGUCUUCAGAUCAUAGGCUAGGACUUCUGUGAACCGUGAAGUUUAAGAAUACAAAUUGUAAACUUAUGCCUUCGCUUGCUGUUUGUAUUAAUGUGGAGCUUCUGCGGUCUUUGCAGGUUGCAGUUUUGGGUUUAUGUUAUACACGUUUGGAUUUGGCUUGCAGCAGGUACUAUACUUAUAGCAAGUGGCGACAACAGAAACAAACCAUGUAUUCAUUUGCCGGUCAGAGUAUGGUGCUGGAGGAUACCCCUGCGGUUCCUAAACGGUUUAUGGAAGCAUAAUGCAGGGAAGGGCAUGGGCGACUGUCAUGACAGGAUGAUGUGUAUUCUUGAUUUUUUUAGAAAAUUAUUUCUUCCAUUUGGCUUGGCUGUAAUAUUAUUCAGAACCUAGGAUUGCUUGUAAUCGAAAACAAUGAUGUAUUUCCAUUAAUGGCAAUUGAAACAAUUAUGUUUGUAAAAAUCCAAAAUUUGUUCAGCUAAUGUAAUUCUACAUUGAUAUUUUUAAACCA